rnacentral:lncRNA from 1 species
UGGGUCAGGAACUGCACUGACAACCUGCAUCCCAAAUCUAAUUAGCUGGACUAGGUCCAGCACAGAGCCAGCACUGCCCCCUGUCCUGCAUUUCAUGGGCAGGAAGGCAUCAUGGGGCUUGCUGUGGGACUAGGAAGACUACACCCACAGAAGAUGCCCAGGGACACCUCGGGUGCCACUCAGAUUCAUGUCCUGGGUCCCUGG